rnacentral:rRNA from 1 species
AUGGAGAUAAGCUUGGAUUUCUCUUGGGAGACGCCUAGCUUCUUCGAGCUCUGCGACGCAGAUAGCAUGCACCUGCCAGCUGAGGACUCUCUGUCCUGUCUGUACGAGCACGGCGACUCAACUAGCUCGCCGGACGGCGCCAACUCGGGGCUGACGAGGAGGUGGGCUGGCAGGAACAUGCUCAACGAGAGGGACCGGCGCAGGAGGCUCAACGAGAAGCUCUACGCCAUUCGCGGCGUCGUUCCAAACAUCACCAAGAUGAACAAGGCGUCCAUCAUCCAGGACGCCAUCGCCUACAUCGAGGAGCUGCAGGAGCAGGAGCGCCAGAUUCUCGCCGCCCCUGGAACAGAUGGCUGCGCCGCCGUGGUCCAGGCGGACUCGACCGUGGACGAUGGCGUCGGCUCCCCGCCACGGACUACCUCCGCCUCCUCCAUCUGUUCCCCUUCCCCGCAUCCGGUCCAAAUCCUCGAGCUGGAGGUGAUGCAGGUGGCAGAGGAUCUGGCAGUGGUUAACGUGAGACAUAGAAAAGCGCAGGAGGCCAUGGCGAAGGUGUAUGGGGUGCUCGAGUCGCUCUGUCUCAAUGUCAUCACGGCAAGUGUGACCGUCGUGUCCGACAACAUUGUCCACAACAUGUUCAUCGAGACGGAUGGAAUGGAUUGUGCUCAAACGAUCAAGGAGAUGGUAAAGUCUCACUCAGUCAUCUCAAUGUGA